GCUGUGGUAUGUGUCCGAUCACGUCGGCGUGCACUUCUCCUCUAGUAGAACGUCGCGACCCGCUGAGUGUCGGUUUAAGGGCCAGGAUCGUCGACUGUACCGUCGCUUCGGCGUUACGUGUGCAGACGCUUGGAUCCCCGACCGACUGCUCGGCGGUAUGCAUAAGGUAUCGAGCCGCACUCGAAUGCGUUCAGACUCGUUGCAAGCUGUGUCAUUAACCUGGAUGUGCGGAGCUGGUGCCGUACCUGGGAGUGAUCGGCUGUUGGUUGACGAUGUUCUCGAACCGGCUUACACUUGCUGUACAGCGAUACCGGUCGGCGACGCUAUUGCUUUGGGUACUUUCAGGACCCGUCUUGAAACACGGACCAAGGAGUCUAACAUGUGCGCGAGUCAUUGGGAUUAUUGAAACCUAAAGGCGCAUUGAAAGAGAAGAUCGGCCUCGCGUCGAUUGAGGGAGGAUGGGCUAACAUCUCGAUGUUGCUCCGCACUCCCGGGGCGUCUCGUGGUCAUUGCGACCUGAGGCGCACCCAGAGCGCACACGUUGGGACCCGAAAGAUGGUGAACUAUGCCUGGUCAGACGAAGUCAGGGAAACC
rnacentral:rRNA from 1 species